GGGCCUGGUCAACAGGGGUCCAGGAGC
rnacentral:piRNA from 1 species